rnacentral:rRNA from 1 species
AUCGAACGCUGGCGGCAGGCUUAACACAUGCAAGUCGAACGAGCGGCGGACGGGUGACUAAUGUCUGGGAAACUGCCUGAUGGAGUGGGAUAACUACUGGAAACGGUAGCUAAUACCGCAUACCCUCAGAUGUGCCCAGAUGGGAUUAGCUAGUAGGUGGGGUAACGGCUCACCUAGGCGACGAUCCCUAGCUGGUCUGAGAGGAUGACCAGCCACACUGGAACUGAGACACGGUCCAGACUCCUACGGAAGGAAGCAGUGGGGAAUAUUGCGCAAUGGGGACAACCCUGACGCAGCCAUGCCGCGUGAAUGAAGAAGGCCUUCGGGUUGUAAAGUUCUUUCGGUGAUGAGGCGUUAAUCACAGAAGAAGCACCGGCUGGCUCCGUGCCAGCAGCCGCGGUAAUUC